rnacentral:rRNA from 1 species
AGAUUGAACGCUGGCGGCAUGCCUUACACAUGCAAGUCGAACGGCAGCACGGGAGCAAUCCUGGUGGCGAGUGGCGAACGGGUGAGUAAUAUAUCGGAACGUGCCCAGUCGUGGGGGAUAACGCAGCGAAAGCUGUGCUAAUACCGCAUACGAUCUAUGGAUGAAAGCGGGGGAUCGCAAGACCUCGCGCGAUUGGAGCGGCCGAUAUCAGAUUAGCUAGUUGGUGGGGUAAAAGCCUACCAAGGCGACGAUCUGUAGCUGGUCUGAGAGGACGACCAGCCACACUGGAACUGAGACACGGUCCAGACUCCUACGGGAGGCAGCAGUGGGGAAUUUUGGACAAUGGGCGCAAGCCUGAUCCAGCAAUGCCGCGUGCAGGAUGAAGGCCUUGGUUGUAAACUGCUUUUGUACGGAACGAACGGUUCUCUCUAAUACAGGGCUAAGUGACGGUACCGUAAGAAUAAGACACCGGACUAACUACGUGUACG